rnacentral:lncRNA from 1 species
GUUGAAGAGAUAGUGAAAUGAGUGGCCACCUUCUCUUGAUUUCUUCGCCUGUGAUAAUCCCCAACAGCAUCAACAGGCCUACCAUAGGGCCUGAACCCAAAGAUCUGGGCCAUAUCCAGCAGGGUUGGUGCCAUAGGACCCACACGAAAAUCAAAUGUGUUGCUGGCGGAAUUCCAGAAGCACAAAGCAGUGGCAAGCAGGUUCUCAACUCUGUUAAUUGACUGCUUGGACAGGAGAAUGGCAUCAUAAAUCCCG